CUGGGGCCCUUUGUAGUGUGAGUCACGCCCAGGAUAGAAGGAUCUCUGACAAAACAAAAUAAGAACAGCGUGUCUCUGAACCCUGAUAAGAUUGCGACUUACUUCCGCAUAAAAUACGAACGCUGAAGAAUCGUUUGCGACUACUUCUGUAAAGCGUAACCGGAUUUUCUCGCAGUGAUCUCUGACGCACACUUAUUGCUAUGAUGACGUCUAUGAAACAUCAAAUGGCCGGUUCAAUUUUUCACCAAGCUCUUCCUAAACAAAAUCUGAUAUUUCGUUAAGGCAUAAUUAUUAACCUUGCUAUCAAAGCAAAUACGUGCUAUUUGCUUAUUUGAGUUAAUUACCUAUAAUAAUAAUAAUAUAGAAUUUUGUUGUCGC